AGUGAAGAGAAAAAGGCAAUUGUUCAAUUUAGCCUUUGUUUCUUGGGAAAUGAAUAGCAAUUGAAGAGUUUUCAACUGAGAAAAGCAACUUUUAAGCCCUGUAACUGUUUCAUCCUUUAAAAACUGGAGAAGAUUCAAAAGGGAAGGAGAAAUCAAGUAAGGAA